rnacentral:lncRNA from 1 species
AUGGAGCCGGGCUGGCUCCGGGCUUGGUCUUGGCUUGGAUCUUCUGGCCACACGUCUGUCCAGGUUCUAGGACCAGGCUCGGCUGCAGCACUGGCAGAUGCCUUUUUCCUCGGUUUCCACCCUUUGGUGUUCCAGAGCCUAGCAACUGCCCGGGGCUGGUGCCUAGAGGAUCACAGAUGCAGUUGCAAUGGGGUAACCAGGAACCCUGCAUGGAGGCUGAAACAACCAGAAAUGGAAGUUUUCUGCGAUGCCGUGCCACUGGUGUCCAGAAGUUUAAACCACCCCAACUCUUUUAGACUGGAGACUGCAGAGAACCCAGGAUGAAAGUCUUUCUUAUUGGGAAUCAAGAUGGAUUGCUGUCUUGAAAUUACUGGACUGAACAAUGGCUUAAGGUAUGGGUUUCAUUUUGUUCUCAUGUAACAAAGAAGUUGGGGUAGGCUAUUACUGGUGUUGGUUCAGCAGCUCAUGAUAUUUAGGGUCAAGGUGGCCCUUGAGGUUCCCAUGACUUUUCCCUUAGGUUCCUAGAUGGUUGCUGCAGUUCCCAGCAGGAAGGUGGAGGAGGCCCAAAGGGAAAACAGGGCCUGCCUGUUUGAGUUGGCUUCCUUUUAAAGAGUUUUAUUGGCAGCCCAAUAGCUUUUUCUUACAUCUCAUUGGCCAAACUGUGUCAUUGGCUCCUGCUAUCUCUAAGGUUGCCUGAGAAAUGUAGUUUUUGUAGCUGGACAUUAACUGCCUUUAAUGAAAAUCUGAGUUCUCUUGAUAAGGAUGAAGAUGAUGGUGGAUCUUGGGUGAACAAAUGAUAGUCUGUGCCCUGGAUAUAAAAUGCAAUAGUAAAGAAGCAUGAUGUUUGAAACAGAUCAGAACUGUGGCUCUGUUACCACUGGCAACACUCCAAGCAACACUGCUUUGUUCUGAGAGAGUGAAGACAUGCUAGGUCUUCCCAUGAAACACUUGCCAGCACUGACCUUCUCUCUCAACCAAUAUCCUUGACCCCAUCAGGCUUUUCUAGAGGAGGACCCUGGGAACCCACACACUUUCUUGGAGGACAUAAUCUCUUCAUGGAGGUUUGAAAUAGGAUAAGGAAUGUUCUACCUUGCUGCUUCUACAUCUGCUUCAUUUAUCUCUUCUCUAAUUUUCCUAUCAAAUUUUUAGUGGAGUCUAGUUGUGUAUUUGAUCCCCAUAAAAGGAUCAUCCCUUCCAUGCACAGGGGAGGGUAAUCUAUGAAAAGAAAGGCUACUUUUCUCCCUUCUGUGAUUCCACCACCAGUCUAGGAAUAUCCUGGGAGAAUUGCAUCUCAAAGCUUUCCAUAAGCAGCCUACAUCCUGUCUAAGCAAAGGGAGAAGAAACACUUCCCACAUCCAGGGCUGUCCAAAAGAACUUUCUGUGAUGACAGAAAUGUUCUAUAUCUGCAUUAAUAUGGUAGCCACUAGCCACGUGUGGCUAGUGAAUAUUCGAAAUAUGGCUAGUGUGAUUGAGGAAGUAAAUUCUAAUUUUAUUUAAUUUUAAAUAAUUUAAAUAUAAAUAGCCACAUGUGGCUAGUGGCUGUUGUAUUGUAGAGCAUAGUACACACCUUUCUCGUGUUUUAGAACUUGCUGGGAGAGGUUUGAACAAGUCAUAUACGUGGCGUUCCAUGGUCUUCACUGUUCCACCUUGCCAUUGAACUUGUCUCCCAGAGGAAAAAGAAAUAUGGUAUUUUGGAGCUAAAUUGAAGAUGUUAAUUGAACAUCUACACAUUGAAGUAUGUAUUCUUGUGUAAAUGGGAUGAUCUCCUGGGAAUAGGACCUGCGAUUGAUGUUAGUGAUUACUGAUGAUGGGAAACUGGUAGUGCUGGUCCAGUUAACAUCUCUAGUAUGUUCCUGGUUAGAAUGAGUCAGCAAAGAUUAUUUUAUUCUAUUGUGCGGUUCAUUCUGUGUUACUUUAUUUUUGUAUUAUUAUGACUGCUAAGUGAUUAUUCUGUGUCUGUUUUUCAAAAUGCUCUAUGGUUUAUAUUUUUUAAAAGGUUAUGAAAUAAAAAGUAAUUAUAUGUAACUCAGCUUUUUGUGUGUGAGUUAUUAUUACCCAUACUUUUCGAAGAAUUAAUUAGGAUGGGGUUAAUGGAUGGAAGAAAUUUUUGUAUCAGAUUUUCUUUACAAUGGACAUACCUAUAUGUCAAUUCAUGCCAUUUUACAAAAAUACUAAAUGUUCUUUAAUUGUACACAGAUUUGGGUAAAAUGUGAGGGUAAUGAAUGUAUUGGGUUGUAGUUCCCACUGUGGCACAAUGGAAUGGGCAGCGCCUUGGUAGUGCUGGGAUGCAGGUUUGAUCCCCGGCCCAGCACAGUGGGUUAAGGAUCCAGCAUUACCUCAGCUAUGACUUAGGUUGAAACUGCAGCUCGGAUCUGAUCCCUAGCCCAGGAACUCCAUAUGCUGUGGAAUGGCCAAAAAAGGAAGAAAACAAAAGGUAUUGGGUUAAUUCUUUUCUCAAGGGUCUGGUUGUUUUUCUACAUAAAACGUCACUUGAAUCUUGUUUCAGUGGCCUGUUUUGGAUUGUCUGUCUUUUUUAUUAUUGAGUCGUAGGUAUUCUUGAAAAUAUCAGAGAUACUGUUCCUUUAUAAGAUACAUGCUUUGCAAUAAUUUUCUUCUAGUUUGUGGAUAACCUAUUCAUUUUCUUAAUAAUGUCUUUAAGAGAGGGACUUGUACUUUUGAAAAUAAAUUUAUCCAUUUUUUCUUUUCUUGCUUUCUGUGUCCUCUUUAAGAGACUUCUUCCUAUCUCUUAGGUCACAAAAAAUACUCCUGUGCUUUCUUAUAGACUAGAAACUUUAUAGUUUUAACUUUUAUGAUGUCUGUUAUCCAUCUGAAAUGAUUUUUUGUCUAUAAGUUAAGGAUUGCGUUCCUUCCCCUACUCAUAUAUAUGAAGAGUUUUCUCCUCAUUCAUUGAAAAACCCUUCCUUUCCCCACUGGAUUGCUCUGGCAUCCCUGCCAAAAAUCAAAUGAUCAUAUAAGUGGGACUAUUUUUAGGCUCUCUAUUCCUUUCCAUUGGGUCAUCCUUAUGCUGUUACCUCAUUGUAUUGAUUACUGUAUUUUCACAACGUCUUGGUAUUUACCACAAAAUAUUAUAAAUCUGAACUUUUAGAAUAAACUUCUACUGAAGACUUAGUUUACAACAAAAGACACUUGAAUAAUUUUGGUUGAAAAUGGUUAAAUUCGAUGAAAAAAAAACCACACCCUUUUACCAUGCUUCCUUUAUUCUUGCAUGUAGCUCCACCCAUAAUCUGAAUCUAGAGCUGGAGUAGAACUUGGUCAAAAGGAUCCUCAUAAGUAGAAAAUAUCCUUUUUCUGUUACUACAGUUGAGAGAAAACUGGGCUUUUUAAAGAGACUUUUUACUAGAAAUCUCAAGUGAUACAAAACAAAAAGCAGAAGGUUCAUGCAUUGUUAGGGUCUCAGCUUCUUUGCUGGCAUCAGUCUAGCCACAGCCUGGACUGCCUGGCUCAAGUAUCAGGACAUCCAUUUUGAUGUUUUUCACUUAUCUCAAUGGUGUCUGACCCUUGAGUGAUUGGGUACCUGAUCAUACUUUUUAGAAAUUUGGUCAAGAUGGUUUUAUUGGCACCAAAUCAUAUCUCACAUCCAUUUUAUUUGUAUGCAGUUUUCCAGACACACUCCUUCUUGUCCUUUACACAGCUUUUGUUUGUUGGCUUGCUUUUCAAUUUUACUGGAAUAUAAUUGGAUUACAAGGCUCUGUUAAUUUGAGGCAUACAGCAAAGUAAAUCAGUUAUACAUAUACGUAGAUCCAUUCCUUUUUAGAUUCUUUUGCCUUGUAGGUUAUUACGCAGUAUUGAAUAUAUUUUCCUGUGCUACAUAGUAGGCCCUUGUUCCCCAUCUAUUUUAUGUAUAGUAGUUUGUUUAUGUCCAUCCCAACCCCCUAAUUUAUCCCUCCUCUGAACAUUUCCCCUUUGGUAAAUAGAAGUUUGUUUUCAAAAUGUUUUUUUUAUUUUUAUCUUUAUUUUUUAAUUAAAAAUUUUUUAUUAUAGUUUAUUUGCAAUGUUCUGUCAAUUUCUGCUGUAGAGCAAAGUGACCCAUUCAUUCAUCCAUGUAUAUAUGGAUAUGUGUGUGUAUGUAUAUAUGUAUAUGUAUAUACACAUACACACACACUGGAUAAUAGUUACCUGUGCUACACAGCAGGAUCCCAUUGCCUAUCCACUCCAAAUGUGAUAUUUUUCAUCUAUUAACCCAAACUCCCAGUCCAUCCCAAUCCCUCCCCUUCCCCCUUGGCAACCACCAGUCUAUUGUCCAUGUCCAUGAGUUUGGCUUUUUUCCUGUGGUUAAGUUCAUUUGUGGCAUAGAGUCCAGAUAUGUGUGAUAUCUUUGGUAUUUGUCUUUCUCUUUCUGACUUAACAUCACUUAGUAUGAGAGUCUCUAGUUCCAUCCAUGUUGCUGC